UACGUAGGGGGCGAGCGUUGUCCGGAAUCAUUGGGCGUAAAGAGCGUGUAGGCGGGCCGGAAGGUCUGGUGUGAAAGCCCGGGGCUCAACCCCGGAGGGUCACUGGAAACCAACGGCCUUGAGUCUGGAAGAGGAGAGUGGAAUUCCUGGUGUAGCGGUGGAAUGCGCAGAUAUCAGGAGGAACACCAAUGGCGAAGGCAGCUCUCUGGUACAUGACUGACGCUGAGACGCGAAAGCGUGGGGAGCGAACAGG
rnacentral:rRNA from 1 species